rnacentral:rRNA from 1 species
CACUCCUGCGGGAGGCAGCAGUGGGGAAUAUUGCACAAUGGGCGCAAGCCUGAUGCAGCGACGCCGCGUGGGGGAUGAAGGCCUUCGGGUUGUAAACUCCUUUCGCUAGGGACGAAGCUUUUUUGUGACGGUACCUAGAUAAGAAGCACCGGCUAACUACGUGCCAGCAGCCGCGGUAAUACGUAGGGUGCGAGCGUUGUCCGGAAUUACUGGGCGUAAAGGGCUCGUAGGUGGUUUGUCGCGUCGUCUGUGAAAUUCUGGGGCGUAACUCCGGGCGUGCAGGCGAUACGGGCAUAACUUGAGUGCUGUAGGGGUAACUGGAAUUCCUGGUGUAGCGGUGAAAUGCGCAGAUAUCAGGAGGAACACCGAUGGCGAAGGCAGGUUACUGGGCAGUUACUGACGCUGAGGAGCGAAAGCAUGGGUAGCGAACAGGAUUAGAAACCCUAGUAGUCCC